CUGGGAUCUGCCUAACCACAGCUUACUCUGCUUUUUGAUGCAGGAUUUUCACAGACAUCCACUUGUUUUUAUGGAUUAAUUUUCGGCCACUCUUUGAUGCCACUUUGGACACUAUGAUGACAAUAAAAGAAGCAGAAUUCCUUGGAUGAAAGUAGACAAACUCUAUGAAGCAUUCAAGAGAUUGCACAGACACUGCAUGGAUCAGCUGAGUCCUCAGUAGAGAGAUACCUUCCUGCAGUGAGAAUAUCUCAUAGACCCAGCUUGAAGAGGACCCCAGCUACUCUCUGAUGCUGCUUGAUGUAGAAAGUUUGUCUUUCAUAACACCUGAACCUCUGACUCAAAACAGCCUUAUUUUGUCUCCUUCAUGCUUUUCAAACCUUCCCUUAGCAUCCCAUUUUUUCUUCAUAGUCUGUUGUCCCACCUACUACAGAAGUCCUAUUCAGUCUAGCCUCUUCACCAUCUGAUGUUACUUGCCCUGAUUGUACUACCUGAAAAC
rnacentral:lncRNA from 1 species